rnacentral:rRNA from 1 species
CCUACGGGUGGCAGCAGUGGGGAAUAUUGGGCAAUGGGCGCAAGCCUGACCCAGCAACGCCGCGUGAAGGAAGAAGGCUUUCGGGUUGUAAACUUCUUUUCUCAGGGACGAAGAAAGUGACGGUACCUGAGGACUAAGCCACGGCUAACUACGUGCCAGCAGCCGCGGUAAUACGUAGGUGGCAAGCGUUAUCCGGAUUUACUGGGUGUAAAGGGCGUGGAGGCGGGAAAGCAGGUCAGAUGUGAAAACCAUGGGCUCAACCUGUGGCCUGCAUUUGAAACUGUUUUUCUUGAGUACUGGAGAGGCAGACGGAAUUCCUCGUGUAGCGGUGAAAUGCGUAGAUAUGAGGAGGAACACCAGUGGCGAAGGCGGUCUGCUGGACAGCAACUGACGCUGAGGCGCGAAAGCGUGGGGAGCAAACAGGAUUAGAUACCCUAGUAGUC